rnacentral:rRNA from 1 species
AGGUCGACCCGCUGAAUUUAAGCAUAUCAGUAAGCGGAGGAAAAGAAACUAACUAGGAUUUCCUUAGUAACGGCGAGUGAACAGGAAAAAGCUCAUAACCGAAUCCUGCAGUAUUUUAUUGCUAGGAAAUGUGGUGUAAGGGUGAUGCUGUAGUUAGAUAAUUUAACUCUAAGUUCACAUGAUUGUGGCUUCAUAGCCCAUGGAGGGUGUAAGGCCCGUAAGAGUAAAAUUGUCUUUCUUUUGUAUUAUCCCAUGAGUCGGGUUGUUUGAGAUUGCAGCCCUAAGUGGUGGUAAACUCCAUCAAAAGCUAAAUACAAUGUGAGUCCGAUAGUGAACAAGUACCAUGAGGUAAAGUUGAAAAGAACUUUGAAGAGAGAGUUCAAUAGUGCGUGAAACCUUUCAGAGGUAAGCGAAUAGAGCUGAAAUUAGUGUGGAGAUUGAUGUCUAUUUGUGCCCGAUUGCUAUGUGGUAGAUCAUUAAACGACUGCUUGUAGUAAUUGUAGGUGUGAAUUGAUUGUUUUUCCCAUGCUUAUACCAUGAUUAAGAAUGGCUUUGACUAUUAUUAUUGUGCAGGUAGCUAGUAUAGAAUUUAUUUUAUAUUAGUGUUAUAGCUGGUAAUAUGGUACUUAUGCUGCUCUUAUCUACUAAAUGUGUUUUGGUAUGGCCUGUUAUUUUAUGUUUUACUUGACAUUAAUUCAUUAAAAGAGUUAUGAUGAGUAAUGACGUUUAAUUGAUGGGCUCUCUGCAGAAUGCAUAAAGUCAUGGUUAUUAGUAGGUGUUCUAUUCGGCCCGUCUUGAAACACGGACCAAGGAGUCUAACUUGUACGCGAGUCAUUGGGUUCUACGAAACCUAAAGGCGAAUUGAAAGAAAAGGCUAGCUUGUUCUGGCUGAGCUAUGAUCCACGUCUCCAUGGAGAUGCGGCGCAAUAGUGAUUUGUCUCAUGCUUUUUAAGCGGGGCAAAAUAAGAGCGUACAAGAUGGUACCCGAAAGAUGGUGAACUAUGCUUGCAUAGGUCGAAGCCAGGGGAAACUCUGGUGGAGGACCGUAGCGCUUCUGACGUGCAAAUCGAUCGUCAAAUGUGAGUAUAGGGGCGAAAGACUAAUCGAACCAUCUAGUAGCUGGUUCCCUGCGAAGUUUCCCUCAGGAUAGCUGGCACUUUAAAUAGUUUUAUCCGGUAAAGCGAAUGAUUAGAAGUAUUGGGGAUGAAAUUUCCUCAACUUAUUCUCAAACUUUAAAUGGGUAAGAAGCUUAAGUCACUUAAAUGGACUAAAGCAUAGAAUAUGAGUGCCUAGUGGGCCAUUUUUGGUAAGCAGAACUGGCGAUGUGGGAUGAACCAAAAGCGGUGGUUAAGGUGCCUAAAUGUACGCUCAUGACACACCACAAAAGGUGUUGGUUGAUAUAGACAGCAGGACGGUGGCCAUGGAAGUUGGAAUCCGCUAAGGAGUGUGUAACAACUCACCUGCCGAAUCAACCAGCCCUGAAAAUGGAUGGCGGUGGAGCGUUCUACCUAUACCGCGCCGUUAUUGUGAAUUGUUGAAUGAAAGCAAUAACGUGUAGCAGGGCGAAGUGGAAAGCUUAGAAGGUUAAACUGUAAAGUUGACUGGAGCUUCCAUUUGUGCAGAUCUUGGUGGUAGUAGCAAGUAUUCAAGUGAGAAACUUGAAGGCCGAUUGUGGAGAAGGGUUCC